AUGGCUAAUUAUGCACAGGAACCUCAAAAUCCCAGCAAGAAAUCAAAAAAGAAAGCUGUCACCCUCAAAACUUUUUAUGGAGGAAAAACCCAGGCUACAGAGGAAAUACUGGAUGAAAGUCAAACAAAGGCAAAAAGAAAGAAAGAAAGAAAGAAAGAAAGAAAGAAAGAAAGAAAGAAAGAAAGAAAGAAAGAAAGAAAGAAAGAAAGAAAGAAAGAAAGAAAGAAAGAAAGAAAGAAAGAAAGAAAGAAAGAAAGAAAGAAAGAAAGAAAGAAAGAAAGAAAGAAAGAAGGAAAGAAAAGAGAAAGAAAGAAGGAAAGAAGGAAAGAAGGAAAGAAGGAAAGAAGGAAAGAAGGAAAGAAGGAAAGAAAGAAAGAAAGAAAGAAAGAAAGAAAGAAAGAAAGAAAGAAAGAAAGAAAGAAAGAAAGAAAGAAAGAAAGAAAGAAAGAGAGAAAGAAAGAAAGAAAAUACCUGGCCUCAAGUACUUACAACUGUGUGAUCCUGGGCAAAUCAUUUGACCCUGUUUGCCUCAGUU
rnacentral:lncRNA from 1 species